GACGAACGCUGGCGGCGUGCUUAACACAUGCAAGUCGAGCGGAAAGGCCCUUUCGGGGGUACUCGAGCGGCGAACGGGUGAGUAACACGUGAGUAAUCUGCCCUUCACUUGGGGAUAACCUCCGGAAACGGUGGCUAAUACCCGAUACGACCAUUCCUCGCAUGAGGUGGUGGUGGAAAGUUUUUCGGUGGGGGAUGUGCUCGCGGCCUAUCAGCUUGUUGGUGGGUAAUGGCCUACCAAGGCUUCGACGGGUAGCCGGCCUGAGAGGGUGACCGGCCACACUGGGACUGAGACACGGCCCAGACUCCUACGGGAGGCAGCAGUGGGGAAUAUUGGACAAUGGGCGGAAGCCUGAUCCAGCAACGCCGCGUGAGGGAUGACGGCCUUCGGGUUGUAAACCUCUUUCACCUGUGACGAAGCGAAAGUGACGGUAGCAGGAGAAGAAGCACCGGCCAACUACGUG
rnacentral:rRNA from 1 species